UCUGAGCAGGUGCUGCAUGGCUGUCGUCAGCUCGUGUUGUGAAAUGUUGGGUUAAGUCCCGCAACGAGCGCAACCCUUAUCCUUUGUUGCCAGCGAGUAAUGUCGGGAACUCAAAGGAGGCUGCCGGUGAUAAACCGGAGGAAGGUGGGGAUGACGUCAAGUCAUCAUGGCCCUUACGAGUAGGGCUACACACGUGCUACAAUGGCAUAUACAAAGAGAAGCGAACUCGCGAGAGCAAGCGGACCUCAUAAAGUAUGUCGUAGUCCGGAUUGGAGUCUGCAACUCGACUCCAUGAAGUCGGAAUCGCUAGUAAUCGUAGAUCAGAAUGCUACGGUGAAUACGUUCCCGGGCCUU
rnacentral:rRNA from 1 species